AUGAUGGUGAGAGGACUUCUUGGAAGAGGGAACGAGGAGAGCAAAGAUACAGAGCUCUUUUCUGGACAUCCACCCAUCCCUCCUAAAACUGCAGAAAGUGUUUUGGGACGCAAAAUCUGCCCAGAGCCUGUCUGGAAAAGGAGAGGAUCACUAAACCAGUGGCUAUGGCUGACGAAACACCCAUGCUGGGACAAAAUUACUUUAUCCAGAUGCCGGUGAUUGAAAAGACAUUCUAAAUAUCUGUCAAUGGUAAAUCAUAAACCUUGUUUGGAAACCCUUUUGUCAAGCCUGUGAACCCUCAGAGGAAAGUGUUUUACCUAGUACUGCUAAAAUAAGCUUGGUAUUUGGAAAUGCUGUAGGCUUGAUUGCAUUGAAUUAGAAAUUGAAUCAUUAUGAACUUAACCUCCGAGAGGGUUUUCCAUGAUUGUUUUAUUCAGCUUUACUGACUACACUGCCCAUAGCAACUCUGGCAAUGAUUC
ensembl:lncRNA